rnacentral:rRNA from 1 species
UUUGAUCCUGGCUCAGGAUGAACGCUAGCGAUAGGCCUAACACAUGCAAGUCGAGGGGCAGCACAUGAGGUAGCAAUACUGAUGGUGGCGACCGGCGCACGGGUGAGUAACGCGUAUGCAACCUGCCUACAACAGGGGAAUAACCCGUUGAAAGACGGACUAAUACCCCAUAAUACAGGGAUCCCGCAUGGGAAUAUUUGUUAAAGAUUUAUCGGUUGUAGAUGGGCAUGCGUUCCAUUAGCUGGUUGGUGAGGUAACGGCUCACCAAGGCAACGAUGGAUAGGGGAACUGAGAGGUUUAUCCCCCACACUGGUACUGAGACACGGACCAGACUCCUACGGGAGGCAGCAGUGAGGAAUAUUGGUCAAUGGACGCAAGUCUGAACCAGCCACGUCGCGUGAAGGAAGACGGCCCUACGGGUUGUAAACUUCUUUUGUAAGGGAAUAAAGUGGGCCACGUGUGGCUUUUUGCAUGUACCUUACGAAUAAGGAUCGGCUAACUCCGUGCCAGCAGCCGCGGUAAUACGGAGGAUCCGAGCGUUAUCCGGAUUUAUUGGGUUUAAAGGGUGCGCAGGCGGGAGAUUAAGUCGGCGGUGAAAUUUUGCAGCUCAACUGUAAAAGUGCCUUCGAAACUGGUUUCCUUGAGUGUAGAUGAAGUAUGCGGAAUUUGUGGUGUAGCGGUGAAAUGCAUAGAUAUCACGAGGAACUCCGAUUGCGCGGCAGCUUACUAAACUACUACUGACGCUCAGCACGAAAGCGUGGGGAUCAAACAGGAUUAGAUACCCUGGUAGUCCACGCAGUAAACGAUGAUUACUAGCUGUUUGCGAUACAAUGUAAGCGGCUGAGCGAAAGCGUUAAGUAAUCCACCUGGGG